CCUACGGGCGGCAGCAGUGAGGAAUAUUGGUCAAUGGGCGCGAGCCUGAACCAGCCAAGUCGCGUGAGGGAUGAAGGUCCUAUGGGUUGUAAACCUCUUUUAUAAGGGAAUAAAGUGUGGCACGUGUGCUUUUUUGUAUGUACCUUAUGAAUAAGGAUCGGCUAACUCCGUGCCAGCAGCCGCGGUAAUACGGAGGAUCCGAGCGUUAUCCGGAUUUAUUGGGUUUAAAGGGUGCGUAGGUGGGCUGUUAAGUCAGUUGUGAAAGUUUGUGGCUCAACCGUAUAAUUGCCAUUGAAACUGGCAGUCUUGAGUAUAGUUGAGGUAGGCGGAAUGCGUGGUGUAGCGGUGAAAUGCUUAGAUAUCACGCAGAACCCCGAUUGCGAAGGCAGCAUGCCAAGCUAUGACUGACGCUGAUGCACGAAAGCGUGGGGAUCAAACAGGAUUAGAUACCCCAGUAGUC
rnacentral:rRNA from 1 species